GUAUUAAAUGUUCUCUAGGUCGUGUCUUUAUACGAGUACAGAGCCAAUCGAUCGGAUGAGCUGUCGAUACGCCGCGGUGAUUUGAUCCAUGUGCUGUAUAAAGACAAUGACAGCUGGUGGUUUGGGCGACUGGUCAGUGGACAGGAAGGAUACUUCCCAGCGUCCUAUGUGGCUGAUGAUGGGAGUUUUGAUGACGAGCUCUCAAGAGCUUUAGAAGCACUGCCGUCAGCGUUAGAUCAACCUGAAGGAGUCGAGCAUGUGACACCAGUCCAGCUGUCUGCAGCCAUCAGUGCCUCUGGAGAGCUGAAGAUCAUCUCAGAGCUGGACACUGACCCUGAGGCGUCCUCCACCACAACAAAAAAGAAGAAGAAAAAGGUGAAGCGGAGUGAAGUUCCCUCUGAUCUGCCUCGGGUCCCGUCCUCAGAUCGUGAGAUGUCUUCAGCAUCUUC